UACGUAGGUGGCAAGCGUUGUCCGGAUUUACUGGGCGUAAAGCGCGCGCAGGCGGGCUGAUUAGUCCGGGGUGAAAUCUCACGGCUCAACCGUGAGUGGUCCCCGGAUACUGUCAGUCUUGAGGUGUCUAGAGGAGAGCGGAAUUCCCGGUGUAGUGGUGGAAUGCGUAGAUAUCGGGAAGAACACCAGUGGCGAAAGCGGCUCUCUGGGGACCACCUGACGCUGAGGCGCGAAAGCGUGGGGAGCGAACCGG
rnacentral:rRNA from 1 species